rnacentral:misc_RNA from 1 species
UAGCAUAAUGAAAAUAUCAUAUACAAAACAAAAAUAAUUAUAUGCUUGUAUGAAGUAGGGAAUACUCAUUUAAAUAUUCAUAAAUCACUUUAAGAAGAAUGUAGAGUCUAUAACAUCAGGUCUUUAUAGUCAUUUUAUAAUAUUUUAUUUAGAAUUGUUGUCUUUAUAAUCACAACCGGAAGCUUCACUACAGUACUCAUAGUAACCUAUGACAG